rnacentral:lncRNA from 10 species
GUAGACUGGGGUCUCACUAUGUUGCCCAGGGUGGCCUCAAACUCCUGAGCUCCAGCCACCCUCCCACUUUGGCCUCCCAAAGGGCUGGGAUUACAGGUGUGAGUCACUGUGCACAGCCUAAACAGCAAUCUUUAACUUGGAGGGGGGAUGAGGGGGCUGCUGAGAGGUGAGAAGGGGGAAGGAAAGAGAAAGGGCAGGGGAAGUGUGGGUAGCUGGCCAAAGCCAGCCUGGCUCACCUUUAGCUGCAACCUAUGUUCAUGGCUUCCUUGUUCCUUAAAGUAAUUCAGUGACACAGGUCCCUGCUGUUAUGCCCAUAUCAUAGUGAGGACACUGCAGUUUCACCCAAGGGUAAGUGCUUCAGAAUGGCCAUAAGAGUCCCAGAAUCUGGUCCCCAGAAGGACAAAGCACAUCCUCAUUUUCCAUACAGGUGAACAGAAAGGCGGACUGGCUUGCCCAAGGCCACACAGCGAGUAGCUAAGAGCAGAAACCAAACUUGAACUCCAGGGUCUCCUCUGUCCUGAGUUCUUGUCUUUCCCAUCUCAUACAGGCCAAUAUCUUGGCACUUCCAUCACAGUAAGUGUCUAUAUUUAUCAUUUAUGUUGAGACAGGGUCUCUGUCUGAUGCAAUCACAAUUCACUGUAGCCUCCACCUCCUGGGCUCAAAUGAUCCUCCUGCCUCAGCCCUCUAACGCUGUACAGUCUCCCAGGUAGAGGUGCACACCACUAUACAUGGCUAAUUUUUUAUUUUUUAUAGACAUAGGAUCUUGCUAUGUUGCCAAAGUCAGUCUCAGACUCCUGGGCUCAACCAGUCCUCCUGCCUCGGUCUCCCAAACUGCUGGCAUUACAGGCAUAAGCAACAUAGCAAGACGUAGUCUCUACAAAUAAUGAAAAAAUUAACUGGGAGUAGUGGCAUAUGCCUGUAGUCCCAGCUACUUGGGAAGCUGAGAUGGGAGGAUUGCUUGAGCCUGGGGGGUUGAGGCUGCAGUGAGCUAUGAUUGUGCCACUGUACUCCAGGCUGGGUGACAGAGUGAGACCCCCAUCUCAAAAAAAAACCAAAACCUACGUUACAAUGAAAUAUCUAGAAUAAGUAAAUCCACGGGACAGAAAGCAGAUUCGCAGUGAAGAGGGUAUGGGACGUGGCAGCUCUUAGGUAUGGGACUGUCCACAGUGAUAAAAAGGUUCUGGAAUAAGAUAGUGGUGGUGGUUGCACACGAUUGUGAAUUGUUGGCCGGGGCGGUGGCUCAUGCCUGUAAUCCCAGCAUUUCAGGAGGCCAAGCCAAGAUUACCUGAGGCCUGGCCAAUGUGAUGAAACCCCAUCUCUACUUAAAAUAUAAAAAUUAGCCACCGAGCGCGGUGGCUCACGCCUGUAAUCCCAGCACUAUGGGAGGCCAAGGCGGGUGGAUCACGAGGUCAGGAGAUCGAGACCAUCCUAGCUAACAUGGUGAAACCCCGUCUCUACUAAAAAUACAAAAAAAUUAGCUGGGCGUUGUGGCAGGCGCCUGUAGUCCCAGCUACUCAGGAGGCUGAGGCAGGAGAAUGGCGUGAACCCGGGAGGCAGAGCUUGCAGUGAGCCGAGAUCACGCCACUGCACUCCAGCCUGGGCAACAGAGCAAGACUCUGUCUCAAAAAAAAAAAAAAAAAAAAUCAGCCAGCCUGAAAAGAGCCUCAUUAGACAAGGCUAAACUAAAUAUCUCUAAAGACAGGUAAGUUCUGGGGAGGCCGAGGCAGGCGGAUCACAAAGUCAGGGGAUCAAGACCAUCCUGGCCAACACGGUGAAACCCC